rnacentral:rRNA from 1 species
UUGACCUCGGAUCAGGUAGGGAUACCCGCUGAACUUAAGCAUAUCAAUAAGCGGAGGAAAAGAAACCAACCGGGAUUGCCCCAGUAACGGCGAGUGAAGCGGCAAGAGCUCAAAUUUGAAAUCUGGCCCCCCCGGGGGUCCGAGUUGUAAUUUGCAGAGGAUGCUUCGGGCGUGGCCCCUGUCUAAGUGCCCUGGAACGGGCCGUCAGAGAGGGUGAGAGCCCCGUCUUGGGCAGGGUGCCCGCGCCCGUGUGAAGCUCCUUCGACGAGUCGAGUUGUUUGGGAAUGCAGCUCUAAAUGGGUGGUAAAUUUCAUCUAAAGCUAAAUACCGGCCGGAGACCGAUAGCGCACAAGUAGAGUGAUCGAAAGAUGAAAAGCACUUUGAAAAGAGAGUUAAACAGCACGUGAAAUUGUUGAAAGGGAAGCGCUUGCGACCAGACUCGCCCCCGGGGUUCAGCCGGCAUUCGUGCCGGUGCCCUUCCCCGGGGGCGGGCCAGCGUCGGUUUGGGCGGCCGGUCAAAGGCCCCGGGAAUGUAUCGCCCUCCGGGGCGUCUUAUAGCCCGGGGUGCAAUGCGGCCAGCCCGGACCGAGGAACGCGCUCCGGCACGGACGCUGGCGUAAUGGUCACAAACGACC